rnacentral:lncRNA from 1 species
ACUUCACAUCUGCGCGUCCCGCGGUCUUGCGAGGCGAGGCCAGGUUCUCCAUGUGUGGAGCUCGUCCCCAAUCGCCCAGCCCAGCCGCGGGGUUGGGGGGCUCGGCUUGGGGUCCGACCCAGAGGGGCGCGGGGCAGGAGUCCGACCUGGGGCGGGGGGCGGGUUUGGGCCAUUCACGGCUUGGGAAGCGACAACCCCUACGAGCCACAAAAUGGCUGGGGCUUGGGGGACCCCCCACCUCCUCUGUCUUCCCGCAAAUAAUUCAGUUAACUUUCCCAUCCGCGCUGCGCAGUGUGCGCCCUCUGCCUUUCUUCUGGAUAAGUGGAAGCAGAAUGAUGACGUUUCUGUUGUGGGGAGAGGAAGUUUGGGGUUAAGGAGAAAUGGGUGGCGCUAAUGCCUGUAAAACAUAAAAUUCGAAGCCCCCCCUCCCCCGCAGCCGUCUGACUGGACUCCCUCCUUUACCAGGGGACCCUGAAGUUCAACCUGAGAGACUAUUCUGGCCUCGAAGGGAAGUAAGAGUUGGACAUGCCUUUUUACACUCCUCCAGCAUUAACAUCAAGGCAGACCUUAAGUCUGAUUUAAAAAAAAAAAUGUGGAAGGAAAAUAAAUUUGGGGGCCGCAAAAUCAUUAAGCUUAAAAGGAAAAGUCAAGUUGGGAACUGCUUAGGGCAAACCUGCCUCCCAUUCUGUUCAAAGUCAUCUCUCAGCUCACUGAGAUAAAUGCGUAUCUGAUUGCCACCUCUGGAGAGGCUAACCAGAAACUCAAGGGAAUGCAAUGAUUUGUCUCAUAUUUACCUAUGACCUGGAAGCUCCCUCCUGCCUUUGCUUUGAGUUGUCCCGCCCUUCCGGACCAAACCAAUGUUCAUCUUACAUAUAUUGAUUGAUGUCUCAUGUCUCCCUAAAACGUAUAAAACCAAACUGUGCUCUGACCACCUUGGGCACAUGUCAUCAGGGCCUCCGACGGCCGUGUCAUGGGCGUGCAUCCUUAAAUUCAGCAAAAUAAACUUCCUAAGUUGACUGAGAUCUGACUCAGAUAUUCAAGGUUCACAUUUUGGUA